AAAUUGGUACUGUUUAAAUUGCAGCAGUAUCGACGUAGACUUGUAUGCUGGGGUGGUAAAUAUGACGCCUGCCGUGGGCUCGGCUGGAAAUAAGUUGUUCCAUCCAUUCCAGGUGGACUUUCGUCGACUACCCACGUUAAACAAGAAACUUUACCUUUUUUUAACUUAUGGGAGAUGACAACGAUAUUCCUGUUCACACUCUCUUAUAUCCGAAAAAUAGUCGAUACUAUCAGUCCGAAAGCGCGCAUUUGUUGUUUAACUGCAGCGUGUUGAGGAUAUAAUUCUAGAAUGUCACAUUUGCAGGAACAGCUUACGUGCUCCAUCUGUUUGGAACUGUAUAAUGACCCUGUCCGUCUGGUCUGCUUCCAUGUUUUUUGCCAAAAAUGCAUUGCAGCCAACAUGAAUAUUCCUGACAGAAGACCAGUCUGCCCAGAGUGUAAUACACCAAUAGAAAAUUCUUUUCCACCAAAAAAAGACUUCAAAAUAGCAGCGCUUAUUCAAACAAUUAAAGAGACCCCGAAAUGCAGGGAACAUAAUGAUGAUAACAAUAUACUUGAAGAGUACAAAGCAGACGUAUUAUGCAAGACAUGUUGUAAACUACUUUGUGUAGCAUGUGCCUUUGGACAGGGACACAGAAACCAUGAAAUGGAGGACUUAAAAUCAGCCAUUACCAAACAAAAGGAGUUGUUAGCAAAGAAGAUGCCAGGUACUAGAGUAAAAUUACUUAAUUAUAUGAUGCAGCGUGCCAAGACGAAGAAGGCUCGCAAAGAUUAUUACAAAUGUGAAGUAGACAGCAUAUCAACGUUUAAACGUAUGGUCAGUGAUAUUCAGGCCCACAUUGAUAAGUUAAAGACAGAUGGAGAGGAAGCCAUUCAAGUAGUUACUGAGGAAUUUGUGACGUUUUCUAAAGAGAAGGAAUCUGAACUUACAGAAAAAAUUAAAUGGGCCGAACAACUAAUAAAAAGCUAUGAUGAAUUUGAAAAAGAUCCUGCCAAUUCAUUUAAAGUCAUGAAAGAGAAUGCUGAAAAGAGUUUUGAAUCCAACAAUUCUUUUCUGCCAGAACUUACUGCAAAAUCAUCAGUAGCACAUAUUUUUAGAAGAAGUCCAGUGAUUAAAGAAGGCUUUGUACAGUUAAGCAGUAUGGUGAACAGCUUUUUGCAAAAAAUAGAAAAUAAUCUGGGUGAAGGUUUUGUAUGUCGUCUUCAGGGAUUACCUUGUAAUGUAACAACAGAUGGGGUCAUAGAAUGGUUUGGAGGGAGUGUAAGAAUUGUACCAAAUGGUGUUCACAUUCUAAAUACCUGUAAAGGGCAUCGCCAGGGAGAGGCAUUUAUAGAACUGGUUGCUGAGAAAGAUGUUGAAGCUGCAUUAACUCGACACAAAGACCACAUGGGAUACAGAUAUAUUGAAGUAUAUCGAUCAAAACGUAGUGAGAUGGAGGAUGCUGUGAAAAAGUCAAACAGAAGGUCGUAUCAGUUAGGAGAUGGCAAGAAUAGACAAGCAUCAGAAAUGUUUGACACUGAAAAUCCAGCCACAGAUGAAGAGUACUCACUACCAAAAAUAAAAUACUGCAAAGGUAAUUCGGGAAAAGCUUUUCACAAAGCAACAAAGUUGAACAAACAUACUGUGUCAUCAUGCCCAUCUUCUGAAGCUCCUGUAGUUUACCUAGGUUCAUCGCGUAAUACAGCGUUGUCAGAUGACUCAGCUUCUUCCCCGGAAACAUCGUUGACAGCUGUACCAUCUACUUCAGGUGAUUCAGGUUUAGAUACAUCAGCUUCAUCAGUUGAACCAUCAACUUCAGUGGAGGGUUUCAAAAUACCUGUUGUAGGAAGUAAGAACCUAUCUGAAGAUGUCAAUGCAGCAAUUCAGCUGAUUGCAGAAGCCAAUUUUUCCACAGAGGAAUUCUCCAGUUUCCUCAUGUUCUUUCAAAACUUCAGAAAUGAACACAUUGGAUUGACCACUAGAUUAUCUAAAGUAGGAUUUGCAAAUAUUGCUUUGCAAGAUUGGAAGCAAGUACCACCAUUUCAGAAACUGGGGUACAAAUUUAAAGCGCACAACACAGAAAAAUACCAGAGGGCUCUAGGGGAAUACACAGCAUUCUUCAGCUGAGUUGGUGGGACAUUUAAUGCUGUUUAUGGUGGAAAAAAAGAAGAAGAAAAAAACUGGCAAUGAAGAGGGUAGGAAUCCAUCCAGCUGGUUCACUGAAAGUCUACCCACGUGCCUGCACAUGCCUGAAACAGUGGAGAGGCACCUGGAGGUCUUCCUCCAACAUCAAACAAUACCAGUGUGACUAAUCCACACAAGACUGGAUGUAGGAAUGGAUGGAGUCCAUCAUACCAGAAUUUGUUUCUGAAGAAUAAUUAGUUGGUUUACAUUUUUAUGUUAGAUACCAGAAAAAUGUCAGGGAAAACACCUGUUGUCUGGGAAGCAUGAGGGAAAUUUUUGUUUGAGUUGUGGGAGCACUCUGUUACCUUACAUGUUAAGUUUCAUUUACUUUACUGGUAGUAAAAUAAAAUUAUUUUUGCAAAAAUUGUUGAAUCGUUGUCUGUAUAGUAUCUGAAGUUCCGGUUCUUGAUUAUUUUCCCUAACAUGAUCAACGUUACGUGAAGCGAAGCACAUGUAUCACAAGAGCAUAUCAGUAUUUUAAAGUUUCAGAAAAAAGGCAUAUUCUUGAUGCAAGAAGGAAAUGUAUGUUCUUAUUCUGGAGCAGAGGAUAUCUUAAGUACUAUUUAGUACUUCAGUGUCACCCAUGACUCACUAUACAUCUGUUUAGUUGGCCUAAGUAUAUUUACGUAUAUUCUCUUUUAUCGUCGAGUAUUUAGCAGAAGGUUGCUCUAAAAAGUGCUAGAAAUCCUAAUUACUCUGUACCAAGUAGGACCUUGUGCCAAAGAUUUUAUACAACGUGAGUGCAAGUAUGGUUUUGAAUCUCUUAUCGUCAAUAUUCAGACAGUGGAACUGCAAAAAUGACCUUUUUCCUAAUUAAGCCACACUUAAUCGUGCGGUUUAACAAUAGUGUACAGUAAAAUUGGCUCUGUUUUCUGGUGAUAUUUUGAUUAAGAAGGUUUUUUAGCUCACCUGUCACGAAGUGACAAGGUGAGCUAUUGUGACCGCUUGAUGUCCGUCGUGCAUCAACAAUUUGUAAAAAAAUCUUCUUCUUGAAAACCAUUGGGCAGA
rnacentral:misc_RNA from 1 species